rnacentral:rRNA from 1 species
GACGUAGGGGGCGAGCGUUGUCCGGAUUUAUUGGGCGUAAAGAGCUCGUAGGCGGCUCAGAAAAGUCGGGUGUGAAACCUCCAGGCUCAACCUGGAGACGCCACCUGAUACUGCUGUGGCUAGAGUCCGGUAGGGGAACACGGAAUUCCCGGUGUAGCGGUGAAAUGCUUAGAUAUCGGGAGGAACACCAGUGGCGAAGGCGGUGUUCUGGGCCGGAACUGACGCUGAGGAGCGAAAGCGUGGGUAGCAAACAGG